CCGUGUAUUCUCCUUCGUCUAUUUUGUUGUUGUUAGAUAACGGGGGGAAAAAAGGAGGAAGAUUUUUAUUAAGAGAAGAUGAGAAGAGAAGAAACACCAAAAAACAACAACGGUCAGAUCGGAGUCAGUGAGUCAUCCGGUGGCAGUGCUGUUGUCGAAGGUUGUCAUGACAACGAGAUCAUCGUCGUCAUCGUGCUCGGGGGGGACAAGGGGGGGAGGAUCAAAGUUACAUACGUACGCGGUGAUUAAGAUAACGGUAGUGUACGUAUGCGAGCUACAUCCCUCAGGUAUGCGCAGUGGCGAGUUAGACGGGGUCUACGAAUUGUACAGCAAAGUCGUGAGUUUCGAGAAGAACUUCUCCGGAGUUCAUUUCACUCUUCGUUCUCCAUGAGUCACUCGACCAGACAGGUUGCUACCUGCCUGCUGCUGCUGCUGCUGCUGCUCUUGCUUUUGCUGUUGCUGCUUUAUACUCCUUCGACAUCGAAGAGAAAGAAGGAGGAAAAAAUAAAGAGAGUAAGAAGUGAGAAAGAAAAUAUGUCCAGCCGACGCAAAGGUCUUCCUUGGUUUCCUCACCGCCCUCGCAACCCUCUUUUUCGGCGUCUCUUUUUCUUUUCUCUCAUUUUAUUAUCGUUUUCCUCAUAACCCGCGGAUAUGUUCGCAAGCACCUGACCGGUGUAUCGGAAAAAUUGGCGGAAAUUUUUGUUAUUCUUGAAGGUUUCGCAAAAUAAUGCAAACGACGCGAAAACAACGUUUUUCUCAUUCGUUAAAUAAUGAAGAUGAACGAACGAAUAACAAGAAAACGACCGAGCGGAGAUUUUCUUUUCAUAUUUUUGCAGAUGCGAGGUGUCGAGGUUUGACCUUUAUGCAUUACUUUCGCGCUAACUACAAUCAGCGAUAUUUACCGCACGUGACAAAAACUUCUUUGUAAAAUGACACCCUGCACCGAGUUGAUUGUGUUUCAUUUAUUUAUUCGUCAUUUUGUAUUAUUAUCAUUGUUUUUCCUUGUUUAUCCGUAUACCAUACAUCUUCUACGUGUGAUACGCGAUGAUUUUACGUAAUUAAGUUUAUAAUAAAAUAAUAAACAGCUCGUGUAACUCUCGGUAACAACAAUUGAUUGAAUAAUAAUAUAUACAGCAGCUAAUGAGAUUGUAGAAACAAGAAAACAA